CACAAACACACACACACACACACAGAUAGAUGAAUUACUCAUUCUCUUUCAUGGCCUUUGUAGAUGGAGGAAGCGGAUGCCGACGCAAAAAGAUCAAAACCCCCUUUGCCAGAGAAACAAGUGUCCUCCUCCCAGAAGCCAAGAAGGCUAGAGGAAAGAGUCGCUCAACAGGUCUGUGUCACUGCUUUCUAACUCUGCAGACAUUCACAGCGUGUCCUUGGCUGCUCAGUCCUGCCAGGUAUCUGUUUUUGGAUUCCUUCUUUGUUGAAAAUGUCUGUGCUAUCUGUGCAUCAGUUUGAAGCUGCUUUUCCUCUUCCUGCGUCUGAGGAAAACACAAUCAAAGGGAAAAAUCAAUGUAUCCUGAAGCAAUGAAAAAGUCAAUAGCUUUCAUACAAUCUAUAUUUAGUGCUGCUUGAUGUAGGGAUUCUAAGUUCUGCUCGGCUGCAUGCAAUUUGUGAGAUGGAUCAAUUUUUUAUCUUCAUUUAUUCAUCAUUCAUUAUUUCCUCAGCUAUUGCUUUAUGAAUCAUACCUCUUUAAAUGUAGUGCCAUCUUGCUGAGGCAUAUAUGCACAGUUCUCUUUGUGUUUUAGUGUAGGAGGUAGAGGUGUAGGUGUGGAUGUUGGGGCAAAUAUGACCGUAUCAAUUUUCCGUGCAGAUUGAGCGCUUGCACCAAUUAUUAUCUUAUAAAUGUGCCCAGGUUCAUUCCUGCUCUCAUUAUAAGGGUUACAUUACAUCCUGGACUUAUCUAUUAAUGGUAUCACCUUAUCUUGAUUAAUAAUCUUACCUCAUUUCUCUCUGUGAUUGAAAUGCAUCAUGCAGAUGAGUCGGUGUAAUAUAUGCAGAAAGCAGGGCUAUUGUUUGGGGGGUAAAUGGUUUCUUUUGAAGGCAGAACUCCCUAUUAAAAGCCUAUCUGCAGCAUUAUCUCACUGUCUGUGCAGGGAGACAUGUAUACAAUGCAGCAACCCAACCCCGUGGAUAAAUUGCAUCAACCAAUCACCAUCAGGGUGCUGCUGCAGGAAGGGGUCCCUAGCAACAGCUGGAUACCUGUUGGCCAAACAGUGUUGUUGGCAUCUAUUUCAAGCUGCAGAUUCUUACCCGACCCUCAAAUACAGAACGUCUGACAGAUAUUUCAUCCCACACACUGCAUCACAGCAGCCUGAUGCAGACUAAGUUUAAAAAAAGAAAAAAAAAAGAAAAAAAAGAUUAAAAGCAUUUAGAAACUUUAAAAUGAAGAAGUUCCUUUGAUGGAAGAGGUCCAGGGAGGUUAGUCUCCCUCCAAAUUAUAACUUUAGAUCUGAAGCCAGUUCAUAAUUUCUAAGUAAUAAGUGUGUCAAAGACUUGAUUGAAUUUAAGCCCAGUCAAGUUCAAGGCCAUGUUAAGAUUGUGCAGCUUAUGAGGCCAUGUUUUGACACACAGGAACACACACACACACACACACACACACACACACACACACACACACACACACACACACACACACACACACACACACACACACACACACACACACACACACACACACACACACACACACACACACACACACACACACACACACACACACACAAACAAACACAAACACACACUACAGCCUUGAAAUUAGCAGGAGUAUAUCCAAAUUAUGAAAUAAAAAUAAACAUGGAAUGUGGUUUUAUACCUAAGUUUUUGCUCAGCUCACCUUUUAGUUCAGAGUUUUUUGUGCAUCACAUGUAAAAAAUACCCUCUCUGAAUAAACAAAAACACGAUAUUUGAAAAAUCUCCAAACCCCGACAUAGUCCAUAGUAAACUCUAUAAUACUGCACAUGCUCCCUAUGAAGCUUUACUGGUGUAGCUCAGUGAAAUACAAUCUGACUUUAACACUGGGUUUUAUUUUGGAAACUUAAUUUGAACUUCUAAUAUUCAGUGAUCAUUCAGGAUUUCAAAAACGAGUCAUUUGACUGUCCUAAACAGGACACAAUCAUCUCUCAUGAAAUGAGGCGCUCCUCACUGGCACUGAAUGUUUUUAACAGAAACUAAAAGACAGAAAUAUGAAAGUCAUCUCUCACUGCCAAAGUCAGACUGCUACAAGUUUAAGCAUGAGUAUAAUUUAAUCAAAUCAGGUUUUCAAAUAGUUUGCGAGUAAAAUCAUGUAGCAACCCUGGAGACAAGUUCUCACUUACGCAUCUGGGUUAUGGGAUUCCGUUUUUUGAGUGAAACCUUCAUUUGAUCCUGAUUCUGUAGAAACCUCACAGUCAGUAUCAGGUUAGUCUGAAGACAAUAUUUGGGUUAUGUGUUUAAAAAAAUCUGGUUGUGAGACUCCGAAAGAAGCAGCAAUAUUCGGAGACCCUAACAAAGCUUUACCAGAUCUGUAGCUCAGCUUUUUUUGUUCUGUGUCUACAGGGGCUGUGUUUUAACCAGGAAAAACAGAGGACAACAUUUCUGGUUCUGCUGUAUUCAUUAGGUUAUCACAAAUAAAAUGGUAAGCCCCACCAACAGGUUUCUACAUGAAUGAAAAAUGCAUCUUUUUAAAUGCAUGUACAAGACAAGAUGAAGUAUAUUUUUCUGUAUUUCAGUGUCUUCAUAUGAUGUAAUGUGGAGAAAUUUGAAUAAUUUUGCUUAAAUUAAUCAAUCAGAAUAUUACUAAUGGUAAAAUCUUUCAGCAGACAGGUUUCAUUAUAUCUCUGUGACAGAAUCUCCGCAUGUAGAUUUCUCAAAACCUAAAACCAUAACAUCAAAACUAUCUGCACAGCUGGACAACAGUAGAUGGUAAUCUAUAAAAUCUGACUUAAAUGGCCUGACCCUUUGACUUAUGUUUUCAGUACAAACAUAACCCCUCUGAAAAAAAGUCCUGAUUUGUGGUUCAGAAAAUGUCAGAACUAAGUUUUAACAGCUGAACGUACAGCCUAUCCCAGCCUCCACCGCUCCAUCUUAAUAUAGUUACAAGCUGCAGUCAUUUGCGGUCCUUCACUGCUAAUAGCAUCCCGCUAAAUGAGCUCCCAUUUCCUCAUCUCAUCUGAGCCCAGCAUGACCCACAGAUAGGCCCUUGUAAAUUCUCCCCCCAUCUGGCUCCUUUUAAGUCGAUGUCAGACUGUCCAUAAUCGCUCUGUCAAAAUGGCAUCCCGUCACCACCGCUUGUUAUGAGGUAGCACAGAGUCGGAGGCUGAGACAUACCAGAGUCAGAGCAGUCUUGCGAGCCUGCCAGCCCUCUUCAUGUAACAUGAGGAAAUGAGUUUGUGUCAGGACUAUUUUUGGGGAGCUUUGAAGUCUUAUUUUGCCCCUUCUUCCUCCGGGGGGGCAGCUCAAGAAAGCAAGGAGGGGGGAACAUUUUGGGGAUCUCUCUCUAACUGCCCCAGUAGCCCAAAAGGCAGCGCUCCCAUGAGCUCAUGCCUGGGUGGUCAAAGCCCAUUGACAUGCAGGGGUCAGAUCUGACAUGUAUGUUACUGUGUCUUAACAAUGGGUUUCUGCAGUAGAUCUCUCUCUAUAUUUCAGCUGAUUCUUCUUGCAUGCAUAAAUAUUUUCUUCUCCUUUCUCCUCAGGCCUUUCUUUCUUUUUCUUUUAUUUAUGCAUUCUUUACAUCAUUUCUCAGUCAAAUGUGCAUAUAAAUCAUUUAAAGCUUUAACCCUACAGUGAUGUAUUCAUAUAUACAACCAUAUAAGAAAAUCUACUGGGUAUAAGUUGAAGUUUGCAGCACCAGGUCGCUAUGCAACAUGUUUUGUUCAGAUACACGCUCUGUGUAUUACUGUUGUUUCACAAACGGUUUUAGAGGAGAUUAAAGGAAUUAGAUAGAUGCAUUGCAAUCCUACUAAAAAAGACAUACUGUUAUUAUCAUAUCGUACAAAUUCAUAGAUCAAUAGUAAGCAGAGGGUCAGUCGAUAUGAGCCAGGAGCGCCU